GGUACAUAAAAGUGAAAACACAUUCCUUCCUACAAGAGGUCUGAACUUUGAGAAACCAACAUUUUCCAAAGAGAAAACGUCACAAUUAGUCUCAGAAAACCAGAGUGUGGGUAUUCUAUAGGCUGUCUUCUCUUACACCAAAUAACGGGGUACUUAGAAAACAAAGUGUAGUUGCAGCAAUGGAUGAACAUAGGGAGGUCUUUCUAUUACUGGCAUUGCAUGGACCACCCCGUGCAGCGAUUCACAAAUCACUGUCAGGAUGUAGCCCUUGGGACACUGCCCUGAAAAACAGUGCCUCAAACCCUCACACAUCAGCAGCGAUCGCCAAACGAAGCCAGACAAUAAGCAGCAAUACCAUUAACCACAAAAAGCUGAUUUCCUAAUGAGAAAUAAGCCUCAGAGCUCUGCAGGGGAAAACACGCUGGUGGUGAGUAACGAGGCGUUGCGGGCUGGAAGGCAUUGUAACCGCUCCAUCUGCUGGCGCUGGUUAACACUGCACGCAGCUGUCAUGGAAGUUUCUAGCUCAUACACAAACAGUAUCCCAUUGGCUAUCAUUCGUUUCCUGGUACCACAGUAUAUUGAAGUGCACAGGACUUGCAAAGAAAGUCAUCCAUGCAGAGUGCAAGACCUUGUUUUUCCUCAGGAGUUUCCCAGAGAUCUACAUUUCAUUUACCUUUGCAUGGAAAUGGCAGACUGGAGAAAGCAGCAGAGAGAGGAAGAGACUCCCAAAGACAGAAGGGAAAACAAAACUGGGCUUGAGCAGAGGAAGCAGGUGCCCAAGUCACCAGAGCUGCAAAAAGCAAAGAAUUCCAAGCUUACUUAUAAACUAAUGAACGGGAAGAUUCUACUGCCAAUGGACACUACUGAUUCAUAAAGGCUUUAUAGCAACACUUUGCUAGGAGCUCCUCAACUGAGCAACGAGGCUGAGUGUACUGUGAGCUUUUGAAGCCAGAGAGCUAAGAAGCACCAAUGGGGUCACGCUUCAGCCACAACUUAAAACUCAGCUUUUUUUUUUUUCUUUUUACCAAGCAAGUCUUCUUCUGCCUAACAAGAUACUUAUCUGUGUACAUUUAUUAGAUUUCAUUAAAGCCAGUGAAGAACAAGACACGUUGCAGAACAUUCUUUGAUCUCUAACAUCACUGCAAGCAAAAUAGAUGCUCAAAUUCCUGGGUCAAACUGUUCCUGGAAUCAAACUGUUUUUCUGCACAACAUACUGAUUUCCCUUCAUUUUAUAAGUGCUCCUUCAGAACAUUAGUAGAUUUUGACACGCUGUUGCCUACAAAACUGCAUAUAGGCAUCUCUCAUUAAUAUCCCACAGAUCCAUUAUGCAGUAAUAAGUAUGACCUGGUCAGGAUUUGACAUCAAGAGUCAUUUCUGGAAACUACUCUCCCUUUGUUUAGACCUCUGUGUUAUUUUCCUUUCAGAGAACUUAUAUGAGCAGUGGGGUCUUAGGAGAUGCUUGUCAUGCUGUUAAGAUAGAAGUUUAUAGCACUCACACAUAAGCAGCUUUAAUGCUGUAUAAAUCUCCUCUUUUCCUACUCUGUCAUUUCGUUUAAUGUUUUGUUUGUAAGUAAACACAAAAUGAACAUUUAGG
rnacentral:lncRNA from 1 species